rnacentral:tRNA from 1 species
ACUUUCUUAGUAUAACAAGUACUGGUGGCUUCCAACCACCAAGCCCCGGUUAAACCCCGGGAGAAAGUA